rnacentral:misc_RNA from 1 species
GCCAUCAAAGACUUAAAUAAAACUAUGUAUUGGUAUGUGUGCAAAUGUCAUGAUUGGACAAGACACAAGCAUAUUUCUACUGCGUUAAUUUAAACAACUUCCUGAUUGAUAGAAAACCACUUUUCUCAGGGGCAGCUUUUUAAUAUCAUUAGGAGUUUGGGACUGACAGCUAAAGAGGUCUUUUAGAGAAUGAUUAAUGGUUAAAGCUCUUAAUGGCAAUAAAUAUAGUUAUA